GAGAAGACGAAGUGGCAGAGGAGAACAUUCCAGACAAGAGAGGGAGAGAGGAGUAGGCGAAGUUGCAGAGACGACAGAGAGGAAAGAUGAGCGUGCGUUUGCGAUUUGCCUCUGCUCUCACCGAUCAAGGUUCAUGUGGAAUAUCUGGAUGAAGUAUUAUAUCUGGAUUGGCCUCCAAACUGCUCUGCCCCAAGACUAUAAAAUGCAUUUCAAUCAUCAUUGUGCUGAGGUGGGAUCAAAGAAGAAGAUGGGAUGGUUAUUAGUUUGGUGCACUUGUGUUUAGACUCUAUGGCUGAGGUGUUGUUUUAGUCUGCAGGUGCAAGUGGUUCAUAAGGCGAAGUAGGGUAUUUGAAUGAGAGCGCAACAAUUUGGUUCGCAGGCAAGAUAAGGUGCUUCUAAGGUCAAGGAAGGUGGUUAUGAUCAAAAGGUCAAUGAAACUGUCACUGUUGUCACUCAAAAGACAUCAGAGAUUGGACAGAGGACAUGGAGUAUAAUGAAAGGGGUCAUGGCUAUAGCUUCACAGAAAGUUGAAGAGUUCACCAAAGAUAACCCAAAUUGGAAGACUAAUAACUGGCAACAAAAUGAGAAUGAUAGAAAUGGUUACUAUCAGGAUUUCAAUAGUGAGAAUAAAGGCGGGAGUUAGCUCAAGCUCUUGGGAUGAUUGGGACCUCAAAGGUAGUAGGAAGGAAGAACCGCUUGAAAGAUCGACUCCACUAUCAUCUGGUAAGCAAUUUGGUACUAUCAACUCAAGCUCUUGGGAUGAUUGGGACCACAAAGACUCUCGGAAGGAAGAACCAGCUAAAGGAUUGGCUCCUCAUAAUCAUGAUGAUGGUUGGGCUGGCUGGGAUAAUAAUGCCAAAUGUGAUGGAUUUGAUAAUUUUUAUGAGGAUGAAUCUAAUAAGAAAGCUACUGGUCAUAAUGGGAAAUCAGAUGCCAAUUGGACAGGGGUAGGCUUUCUCUAAGGUUUGUAAAUUAUGCAAUAGUUCUUAGUAGACUUCAAUACACACACACACACACGUCUAUUUAUGUCUGUUUCACUUUUUAUCCUAAAUUCCUAAUGGUUUACACCAAAAAGUAUAUUUUAACCAAAUAUUAUCAUUUACUCAAAUGACUUCUUGACAAACCUCCCAAUCUUCUCUGUGAAAACCAUUGACUAACAGUUGGUCUUUACUCCCUAUUUAAUCUUCUCAUCUCAGAAUUUUGUGCAAUCUCUCCAAAUAGUGUUUAUCAACUGUUUAUCUUCUAAUGUAUGGUAUAUGUAUGGCUUUGGUCUUUGGUGGGGAAAAGGGAAGGUAGAUGGAGUGGGAAGGGAGAAAAGGAGGGGAUUGGCUGUAUGAAAGGACUCUGGCAAUUUGAAAUUGGAUAUUGUUAUUUGUGUGUUAACUUUUUGUUGUUUAAUGUAUGUUUUAUUCUACUUCCAAAUUAUAUUUCUGAUAUGUAGAUCCUCUACUGUUUGUGGGUGUCAAUGUUAAUUUUGUAUUUCUGAUAUGAAG